AAACAUGUCUAGAGGGCAUUGCCUAGUCAGCAACUUGUACCUCUCCCAAGCUUUAUAGAGAGUCUCACCAUCCUUCUGUCUGAAGGUCUAAACCUCCACCCUAAGCUU